rnacentral:lncRNA from 1 species
AAAAUGUAAUGGGCAAUUCAUUAUUAAUUCUCCCACAAUCAUUUUGUUGCCCAUUAGGUAAAACACUUUGUAUUAUUACUUACCUUAGGUUAAACAUGAUUAAAUGUGCAUAAUGGAGUGGCAACCAAUGGGAGCCUUACAACAUUGUCCUUAUGUUUAAUCAUGUCUACUAAUGGACAAGCUAGAUUAAUUAAUCCACUUAGGAUCCUCAUAAUAUCCACCAUUUAGCUUUUAUUUUAAAUGCCCAAUUUUGAUUAAUCAAAUGUCUAGAAUACCCCCAAUCAAGUGGGCUAAGUAUUGGAUUACAUUUUAUUUUCCUUGGGCUUUUCUUUUAAUUGAUUUGGGCUAGAUAAAAACAUAGUCCAACAAUUU